rnacentral:lncRNA from 1 species
CUAUGACUAGAUGUGGCAGAAUUAUUGGGACAUCAACCUGGUGGCUCAGAUGGUAAAGAAUCUGCCUGCAAUGCAGGAGACCUGGGUUCGAUCCCUGGGUCAGGAAGAUCCCCUGGAGAAGGGAAUGGCAACCCACUCCAGUAUUCUUGCUUGGAGAAUCUCAAGGACUGAGGAAGCUGGUGGGCUAUAGUCCAUGGGAUUGCAGAGUCAGACAUGACUGAGCGACUAACACUUUGACUUUCACUUUCAACCUCAUCAUAAGGAAGGCUUAGUGUUGACAAAUUGAUGCUUUCAAAUUGUGGUGUUGGAGAAGACUCUUGAGAGUUCCUUGGACAGCAAAGACAUCGUAUCAGUCAAUCCUAAAGAAAAUCAACCCUGAAUAUUCAUUGGAAGUACUUAUGCUGAAGCUCCAAUACUUUGACCACCUAAUGCAAAGAGCUAACUCAUUGGAAAAGAACUUGAUCUUGGGGAAGGUUGAGGGUAGAAGGAGAAGGGGGUGACAGAGGAUGAGAUGGUUGGAUGACAUCACUGACUCAACGUACCUGAGUUUGAGCAAAUUCCGGGAGGUGGUGAAGGAAAGUAAAGCCUGGUGUGCUGCAGUCCAUGGGGUCGCAAAGAAUCGGAUAUGACUGAGUGACUGAACAACAACCUCAUAAACACUCGAGGAGGGAAGGGCUCUUGGAUUCCGAAAUGUUGGCAUCACCCGAAUCGCUAGUGGUAUCUGGCUUAAGGAGGAGAGCCAAGAAUGUCCCCCAAAUUGUUUUGGGGUCUACGGCCUGAAAGGUGUGGGGAGAAGGCAGCUGGAGAUCUGAAGUCCUCAGGUGAACAUUGCCUAGUAUUAUUAACUCAAGGAGAAAGCUUUCUGUUAUCUGCUGAGGUCAUCUCAAAUACCUUUCCUGUGGCUGUCAGAGGGAAAUCCAAAAGUUCUGGGCAGGAGCUGGCCAGCCUGAACCCUGCUUCCCCAGACGUGAAGUGGAGACAGUAACACCUGCUCGGAUGACCCCAGCGCACCACUGCAGGACUGUUCAAUAACACAGGACUGGUAAACUACAAAUUUGGUUCAAUUCUCUGGGAUCUGAAAAAUGAAAGCAAACAUGUAUUUUGUUCCAGA